rnacentral:rRNA from 1 species
UUUAAGCUUCCUACGGGAGGCUGCAGUGGGGAAUAUUGGACAAUGGGCGCAAGCCUGAUCCAGCCAUGCCGCGUGAGUGACGAAGGUCUUCGGAUUGUAAAGCUCUUUUGCCAGGGACGAUAAUGACGGUACCUGGAGAAUAAGCCCCGGCUAACUUCGUGCCAGCAGCCGCGGUAAUACGAAGGGGGCUAGCGUUGUUCGGAAUUACUGGGCGUAAAGCGCACGUAGGCGGAUUUGUAAGUUAGGGGUGAAAUCCCGGGGCUCAACCUCGGAACUGCCUUUGAUACUGCAAGUCUCGAGUCCGGAAGAGGUGAGUGGAAUUCCUAGUGUAGAGGUGAAAUUCGUAGAUAUUAGGAAGAACACCAGUGGCGAAGGCGGCUCACUGGUCCGGUACUGACGCUGAGGUGCGAAAGCGUGGGGAGCAAACAGGAUUAGAUACCCUUGUAGUCGAAUUCU